GAAGGAUCAGUAACCAUGGUAGCACCCACAUAAAAAUGCAUACAAGCAUUUAGUUCGCAAACAAGCAUUUCUGUGAGCAACGUUGUCAUUGUUAGGGAAAUGCUUAAAUGCUUACAUGUAUGUAUAUACACUAUGUAUAUGUAUGUACGUUUGAAUGCAGUGUUCAAGACGCAGAACUUUGUGACUGUAACAACAGCUCCUUAAAGGUUUUGAGGUUCACUCUCAACUACGGCUACAUGGCGUGGGGCUAACAAGGUGGAUUACCUCAUUCCCCUCCUUCAGGGUUAGGGUACUUCAGCCUCAAUUGCAUCUUUGUUUUAAGUCAGUCAUACAAUAUGACCCACUAAGGAGAGUUAAAACCCUGCCCUAAGCCCAACCAACAGACACUGAACCAAGCAGGCCACUGUCAGCUUGAGGGAAAUUGUUUAAUUAGUAUGCAAGCCAAUGCAGUCACUUGUUACCAGCACCAGAGGAGAGGCCUUUACUGUCACAGGCCAAGGUGUUUUCCCUCCCAGUCCAGACAGUGUGUGUCUACUUGUGACCUUGCCAAUCAGCUUACAUUGGAAAGGAACCAGAGGUGUUGCUGGGUUUGGACCAAGUGGGACUGAGCAGGGUAUCAGAAGCACGACCAGGGCUGAAUGGUGGAACCACGCAGACGACACGGUCAAAAAAUUUGUGGGCAUGAAUGCAUGAGUGGGCAUGAAUGCUCUCAACCCGAUGCUGCCAAUGAUCAACAAGCUAAGAUGGGG
ensembl:lncRNA